GGUGCAGCCACGCACCCGGUGGGCUUCUGUCAGCAGGGGCCCGGUCUUGCGCUCUGGCACUUUAAGAGCGCGACCAGGCCCUCUUGCUUUUCGGCAGCCGGCUAGGAGGAAGUGACGGCUGCACGUCACUUCCUCCCAUAGAGAGAGGAGCGCGCGGGAGGAGGAAGAGGCAGAGCGGUGGGGGUCCGGGCCGAGCUAGCCAGACCCCAACUCCCAGCAGCUUCAGCCACUGGUAGGAAAGUCACCCUCCAACGUAGAAAGGGUGGGUUUAAUAGUGUAAAUUUUGCAUGUGUAUCUGUGAAUGUGUCAGUAUGUCUGUCAGUGCGAGUGUCAGUAUGUCUGUCAGUGCGUGUGUCAGUAUGUCUGUCAGUG